rnacentral:rRNA from 1 species
GUACCAGACUCCUACGGGAGGCAGCAGUGGGGAAUAUUGCACAAUGGGGGGAACCCUGAUGCAGCGACGCCGCGUGGGUGAAGGAGCACCUCGGUGCGUAAAGCCCUAUCGGCAGGGAAGAAACAGACGGUACCUGACUAAGAAGCCCCGACUAACUACGUGCCAGCAGCCGCGGUAAUACGUAGGGGGCAAGCGUUAUCCGGAUUCACUGGGUGUAAAGGGAGCGUAGACGGCAGUGCAAGUCCGGAGUGAAAGCCCGGGGCUCAACCCUGGGACUGCUCUGGAAACUGUAAAGCUGGAGUGCGGGAGGGGCAGGCGGAAUUCCUGGUGUAGCGGUGAAAUGCGUAGAUAUCAGGAGGAACACCGGCGGCGAAGGCGGCCUGCUGGACCGUAACUGACGUUGAGGCUCGAAAGCGUGGGGAGCAAACAGGAUUAGAUACCCUAGUA